rnacentral:tRNA from 1 species
GGGGACUUGGCUCAGUGGUACGGCGUCGGAUUGCAGCUCUGAUUUUCGGGGGUUCGAUUCCCUCAGUCCCCU